rnacentral:rRNA from 1 species
AGAUUUAUCGGUGCAGGAUGGGCCCGCGGCCUAUCAGCUUGUUGGUGGGGUAAUGGCCUACCAAGGCGACGACGGGUAGCCGACCUGAGAGGGUGACCGGCCACACUGGGACUGAGACACGGCCCAGACUCCUACGGGAGGCAGCAGUGGGGAAUAUUGCACAAUGGGCGAAAGCCUGAUGCAGCGACGCCGCGUGAGGGAUGACGGCCUUCGGGUUGUAAACCUCUUUCAGCAGGGACGAAGCGCAAGUGACGGUACCUGCAGAAGAAGCACCGGCUAACUACGUGCCAGCAGCCGCGGUAAUACGUAGGGUGCAAGCGUUGUCCGGAAUUACUGGGCGUAAAGAGUUCGUAGGCGGUUUGUCGCGUCGUUUGUGAAAACCAGCAGCUCAACUGCUGGCUUGCAGGCGAUACGGGCAGACUUGAGUACUGCAGGGGAGACUGGAAUUCCUGGUGUAGCGGUGAAAUGCGCAGAUAUCAGGAGGAACACCGGUGGCGAAGGCGGGUCUCUGGGCAGUAACUGACGCUGAGGAACGAAAGCGUGGGUAGCGAACAGGAUUAGAUACCCUGGUAGUCCACGCCGUAAACGGUGGGCGCUAGGUGUGGGUUCCUUCCACGGAAUCCGUGCCGUAGCU